UGUUUCAAGAUCGCGUUCAGACAAAAAAGAAUCAACAAUCAAGCACCUUAUAACAAUCUUAAACCUUACCCUGAACCUAACCCUAACAUUAAAGCCCCUUACAGACAAAUAAUUUUUCCUUGACAAAUUUUGUUUGCUUGUGUGUAAGGCAAAAAAUUGACAACUUUUCCUUGCCAAGGCAAGGAGCCUUGUUCCAAAACUAGUCAUACCAGUAUUUGGACAAGGAAAAUUUGUUCGUGUGACGGCUGCCAAGGAAAACUUGAAAGUGUACAAGAAAUAUUUAUCUGGUUUUGGCAAACAAAAAGCGGCCUUGGAGUGAGAUAAAUGUUUGACAACAUUCCGUGCACACAGAAGCAACAAGACUUGUCAAGAGAAACUGUCAAGGAAAACUUUGUUGACCGUGACACGAGAAGGUACCCCGGUUUCGGUGUACGGGUACGAGUAGUGUCAUCUUGUUUACUAGUUUUUACUGAUGUCUGUAAUUCGAUCAUACUUUUUCAGUUGUCUUGCAAUAGACAAUGAUAUAAUGCGAAAAAUGUGCACCUUAAUUACGAGUAAAGGUACAGACAUCGACGAAAAUAUUGCUAACCAAAAUCGUGCUACCCGUACACCGAAACCGGGGGUAUCUUAAACUCACUAUCAAGAAAAACUUGCCCGUUUGGGAUGAACCCUAAAUUUAAAGCGAACUCUGAGUUUAAUUUUGAACCAUAUCUUUAUAUCCUUUUUGCCACCAGGGG